rnacentral:rRNA from 1 species
UACAGAGGUCUCAAGCGUUGUUCGGAUUCAUUGGGCGUAAAGAGCUCGUAGGCGGUCUGUUGCGUCCGCUGUGAAAACUCGGGGCUUAACCCCGAGCCUGCAGUGGAUACGGGCAGACUAGAGGUAGGUAGGGGAGAAUGGAAUUCCCGGUGUAGCGGUGAAAUGCGCAGAUAUCGGGAGGAACACCGGUGGCGAAGGCGGUUCUCUGGGCCUUACCUGACGCUGAGGAGCGAAAGCGUGGGGAGCGAACAGG